CUACGUCAUCCAGCCGAUUCUCUUGCUUGGAAAGAAUUAGACAAAAUUGACAAUAAUUUUGGCUCUGAUGGUCGAAAUGUUCGUUUGGGUCUAGCCAGUGACGGAUUCAACCCUUUUGGUAUGAUGAGCUUGUCCCACAGUACUUGGCCUGUUAUCGUUACUGUCUACAAUCUCCCUCCUUGGUUAUGCAUGAAAAAGUCAUACAUGAUGCUAUCGUUGCUCAUCCCAGGCCCUAAUAGUCCCGGAAAUGACAUAGAUGUGUAUCUACAGCCUUUGAUAGAUGAAUUGAAUGCCCCAAUAUGCAAAUUGAUUAAUCAAGAAUCAUGCCUCUAUCAUCCAUUAUGCAACUAGAACGGGAGCUAAUCGUGUGGAGAUGGUGGUCAUUGCUUCAAGACUAUUAGGAUUUCAAUUCAAUGUCAUGUUAGGAUUUCAAUUCAGUGCUAGAUUAGGAUUUGAAUUUGGCAUUUAUUCGACGGUUUCAUUAAUCAAGGCUUGAGGGCGGCCACAUCAGCCCUUUAUUCAAAAAAAAAAAUUAUAAUAUUAAAUGAAAUAUUAAGUUAUUUAGUA